CGCAUUGCUUUGUACGCAUGUUCUAAAUCUUGUUGAUGUUUUGUACAAUUUUGAUGUGAUUUGUUUUUAUUUUGCGAUAAUUUUCUCGUUUUCUUUUCGUUCAAAAUAAUGUCGCUAAAAAUUCAUGAUACUUUCUUAUCUUGGGAUGAAUUUUUUCAAGCAGUUGAAAUACAUUGUAAUAAAACAUUCCAACCCAUGGUUAAACAUGGUUGCAAGCUAACGGUAACAGCUAAUGCUAAGAUCAAGCUCGACCAAAGACCUUAUCCUGAAAUGUUUAAAUACGUGUACUAUAAUUUAAUUUGCACACAUGGUGGAUUCAAUUCAAGCAAAGGAAUAGGGAAAAGAAAUUCAGGAUCAGCAAAAACUGUCCAGCUAAAACUUAUGCUGCUUUAACAAAAGAUAGAACAAAAAUAAUUAUUAAACAAAUGAUAGAAACGCACAAUCAUGUUAUUGAUCAAGAUCUUUACAAACACUAUGUCAAAAAUAGAAAGCUAUCAAAUGAAGAAAAGGCCAAAGUUAAAGAACUGAGUCGUCUUGGUGUUACUACUAAAGUAAUUGCUGAUGAAAUGAGAAAGAGUACAGGAAAAUCCAUAGUAAAUAAGGACAUUUGGAACAUUAAGGAUAAAAUUCGUCAAAAA